rnacentral:rRNA from 1 species
UACGUAGGGGGCGAGCGUUGUCCGGAUUUAUUGGGCGUAAAGAGCGUGUAGGCGGCCAGGUAGGUCUGCUGUGAAAACUCGAGGCUCAACCUCGAGACGUCGGCGGAAACCAUCUGGCUAGAGUCCGGAAGAGGAGAGUGGAAUUCCUGGUGUAGCGGUGAAAUGCGCAGAUAUCAGGAGGAACACCUGUGGUGUAGACAGCUUACUGGACCAUUUCUGACGCUGAGACACGAAAGCGUGGGUAGCAAACAGG